ACGCCCGGCCCUGCCCCCAGCAGAGGCGGAAGCGGUGUCGCUCUGAGGGGUCGCCAGUCGCCGCAGGCGCUUCAGCCCAGCGGCGGGCCUUGGCCCUUGGCUGCCUACUCCUACCGCCCCAGCCCCGGGCGGCCCUGGGCCUGCUGCGGGCGCGGCGCUGCCCGACCAGAGCUUCCUGUGGAACGUCUUCCAGAGGGUCGAUAAAGACAGGAGUGGAGUGAUAUCAGACACCGAGCUUCAGCAAGCUCUCUCCAACGGCACGUGGACUCCCUUUAAUCCAGUGACUGUCAGGUCGAUCAUAUACUACACUGAAGGCUGGUUACGCUCUUAUGUGCAAUAGAACCUCAAACACAUCGUAACACACCUUUGGAGAAUCCUUACAAGAACACCAAGUUAACAGUUAUCUCUGACCACACUACCUCAGCAAAAAACCAGGAAGAAAAAAUAUUCUUCAACCCUUUUCAGGGACAGAAAGCAUCAUUUCAAAAGUCCAAGAAGGGAAGCAAAACUUCUGACCUGAGACAUCGAAGCAGAUAAAAAGCCGCUACACAAAAUGUAUCGCUACAACUAGAGGGCAGUCUUGCCUUUCUUCCAUUCAAUUAUUCAGUUUCUCAUGUUCCUAAGUGCCAGCCCAGAACCAUGGAAUGUGAAGAAACACAAAACUCACUCCUCUGCAUCAGUGAAUUGAUUGUGUGGUGGGGAUGUAAGUCUGCAUGUGACUGACAGUUCCCCAAAGUGGUGCCAAGUCAAUCUAAACUAGAGAGAAUUUCUGGCCAGGCCAAGCAGAGAUUUCAUGGAUGAAGUCUCCCAAAGACUGAUUUCCUAAACAUUAAACAUCACUGGUUUUCCAAAACUGGUUUUCUUUUUUUUUUUUUAACCCUGUUUCUCAGGCUGGAGGGCAAGUGGUGCCAUCUCCACUCACUGCAGCCUCGACCUCCCAGGCUCCACUGAUCUUCCCACCUCAGCCUCCUGAGUAGCUGGGACUACAGGUGUGCACCGCCACGACUCGCUAAUUUUUGUAUUUUUUGUAGAGACGGGGUUUUGCUGUGUUGCUCAGGCUGGUCACUCGAUCUGCCCACCUGGGUCUCGCAGAGUGCUGGGGUUACAGGUAUGAGCCACCACGCCCAGCCCACUGGUUUCCUUUACACCCGUUUUGUUCCCCAGCAGUCCUUAUGAGGGCACCUGAAAUAAGGAACCUCCUCCCCGACUUGAGAGCAGCAAAGCCUUCAGAGGGAACUAAGUUAUUAAAACCCACCCCACACAAAAUGCUUCUAAACGCCUUGGCUGACUUAAUCCUUGCAGUGUGCUGAGGUUAAGUAUGAUUAUCCAUCUCCUGUGAACAGGAAGACUGAGGCUCAGAGCUUAAGUGAUUUGCCCACGGUUCACUGCAGGGGAUAAAACUCGGCUGUCCCUGGCAGGUCCCAAAGUCACGGCCUUCAGGCUCCCACACCAUGCUGCCUCCCUCACCGGGGCUCCACACUCUCAGCCUGGAAAACACUAAUUUUAAGAAAACCAUGACUUACGAAAAGCAGCCAAUCCCAGCAUUGGAACCAACAGGGCAUAAUUCCACCUGCUUCCAUCACCACCAUCCGCCCUGGAAUUAGGCCGGAUAUUCCAAUUUGGGGGAUCAUUUAGGUUAUUCAUGGAG
rnacentral:lncRNA from 1 species